rnacentral:rRNA from 1 species
AUUGAACGCUGGCGGCAUGCCUUACACAUGCAAGUCGAACGGUAACGCGGGGCAACCUGGCGACGAGUGGCGAACGGGUGAGUAAUGUAUCGGAACGUGCCCAGUUGUGGGGGAUAACUGCUCGAAAGAGCAGCUAAUACCGCAUACGACCUGAGGGUGAAAGCGGGGGAUCGCAAGACCUCGCGCAAUUGGAGCGGCCGAUAUCAGAUUAGGUAGUUGGUGGGGUAAAGGCUCACCAAGCCUACGAUCUGUAGCUGGUCUGAGAGGACGACCAGCCACACUGGGACUGAGACUCGGCCCAGACUCCUACGGGAGGCAGCAGUGGGGAAUUUUGGACAAUGGACGCAAGUCUGAUCCAGCCAUGCCGCGUGCGGGAAGAAGGCCUUCGGGUUGUAAACCGCUUUUGUCAGGGAAGAAACGCUCUGGGUUAAUACCUCGGGGUAAUGACGGUACCCGAAGAAUAAGCACCGGCUAACUACGUGCCAGCCGCCGCAGUAACAC